CCCUUAGUAACGGCGAGUGAACCGGGAAAAGCUCAAAUUUGAAAUCUGGCGGUCUAUUGGCCGAWMKAAUUGUAAAGUAGAGAAGUGUUUUCGGCGCUGGGCCGUGUCCAAGUCCUUUGGAACAGGGCGUCAGAGAGGGUGAGAAUCCCGUCCACGGCACGGAUGACCAGCGCUUUUGUGAUACACUCUCAACGAGUCGAGUUGUUUGGGAUUGCAGCUCAAAAUGGGUGGUAAAUUCCAUCUAAAGCUAAAUAUGGGCGAAAGACCGAUAGCGAACAAGUACCGUGAGGGAAAGAUGAAAAGCACUUUGGAAAGAGAGUUAAACAGGACGUGAAAUUGUUGAAAGGGAAACGCUUAAAGUCAGUCGCGUCUUCAGAAACUCAACCCGGCCUGUUGGGUUCGGGGUAUUUUUUGGUCCAAAACGGGCCACCUUCAUUUUCGGCCCCCAAAAAAAGGAAAAAGGAAGGGGGCUUUCUUCCCGGGAAGGGGGUUAUUGCCCCCUUCUCCUAAGGGGGGGGCUUUCGGAACUGAGGACCGCACCUGGCCGAAACCGGGUCGGGGUUCCCCCACUUGCCUGGUUUAGGAGGUUGGCCUAUGGACUUUAACCGACCCGCCUGGAAACCCGGACCAGGGAGCUUACCWGGCGGGCAAUAUUUGGGUGGGGGAAACCCAUAUGGGGAAUGGAAGUUGAAACUUUUUUUUUGAAAUUGGGACUUCUGUCAUGGAAGGCACCG
rnacentral:rRNA from 1 species